rnacentral:lncRNA from 1 species
UCUGGUUGAGAGCUUCUGGAUUAGUAGGAGGAGUCCACAAGUCUAUUAUUUACUAUGCACACAAACAUUUACCUAAUUUUUCUUUCAAUAAGAAACCUUAUCCGUUGCGCUGGUGCCUGAUUUUCUGACUGCAAAGUCUCUUCAAAGUCUCCUUUGCAAUUUCUCUGAAGUCUAAACCUCCCUUUGUCUUUUCAUGGAUGAGAGAAUAACAGUGGCUAUAUGAAACGGAGCGGCGAUCUCAAAUACUCGCCAUACUCUGUUUUUCAGCUCCACUUGUUCCAGCAAGCACUUCUGAGGAGUUCAAUCUGGUGUGUCAUGACUAGAACUGGACCAGCAGUUAGACAGAAAAAAGAAGAGAGAAGUAGCUUUUGCACUAUUGUCUGGCAUCAUCUACCUGGAACCAACAGGGUCCACAUUCAGACCACGAAGAAGAGAGACCUCCAGGUGAGAAUUCGUAAUGGACCUGCCCUUCUCAGCCCCGAGAAUAGGAGACUUUCCUUCUUGAAGAGUGUUUAAAUGAUGCUGUGAAAGUUAACAAUCAUACAAUGGGAUGAAAGUUAGUCAUCUCUCAAGCACAGUAAGAAGAAUGAUAAAAAUAAUAGCUAACAACUGAAGCAGAAGACAGGGAGGCCUUUGUGCUGCAUAUGCUGGGACAAAGGAAGAAGAACCACAGAGGGAACUUCAUUCUUCAGUUCCAAAUUCUUCUGUUUUUUGCUCUGUCAAAAUAAAUCUUAGUCUUUCAACCUUAUUUUUUUCCUAUAAUGGGGAAAACAAUGAAACACAAUUUUUUAAUGAAAAUAAACAUUAAAUGACAAGCUCAGGAAUUCCGAAGGAGCAAGAGCAGAAGCUGCCAGUCUUCCUGAUGGCUCGAUUCUUCAGUUCCAAAUCCUCACUUCUGUCCUUUCCAGUUGGCUAAUUCAUGUCACACCCCAGUCCACAUUCAGGGCGACGGGAGAGCUCACGCAAAUCAACGUGUAUCAAUACACAUCGCACGUGCUUUAGAUAAAACCAAACAAGACUGACAGGUGAAUAUUACCAUUCCAGCUAGUGGCUCUUCAUCUACUUUUCCUGAGAGACGACUAUGAGGACUAUACCCCAAAUAACACUCAAGUGAUACAUAAUAAAUCCUUCUGACCAGAAUGUGCCAGCUCAUUUGGUGGCAGAAGAACUGAAGAUCCUUUAGAUACAUUUUGCUUAAAUAGAUCAUUGUAGUUUAUCUCCAGAUUGAAGGAAAUGGCAGAGAAAUGGGGAAGAAGAGUCAAAACAAUUGUUUAACUGAGAAAUGAUUAUCCAUAUGUGACUGCAGGGCUUGCGAGAAAUUAAAAAG